GGAUGUGAGGGCGAUCUGGCUGCGACAUCUGUCACCCCCUUGAUCGCCAGGGUUUUUCGGCUGAUCUGGCUGGCUAGGCGGGUGUCCCCCUCCUCCCUCACCGAUCCAUGUGCGUCCCUCCCGAAGCUGCACGCUCCGUCAAAGAGGAUGACCUUCCCCCCGAGGCGAGGACCGGUCUUCGGUCAAGGGUAUACAAGUAGCUGCGCUCCCCUGCUAGAACCUCCAAAGAAGCUCUCAAAGUCCAUUUGUAGGAGAAUGUAGGGUAGUCAAGCUUCCAAGACUCCAGACACAUCCAAAUGAGGCGCUGCACGUGGCAGAGUGCCUUCCUUU
rnacentral:snRNA from 1 species